ensembl:lncRNA
GCUUUCUGGAGUUGUAGAACCAGUGGUGGUGCUUUCUGUUGUUAUGGUCUCUGUUGUAGUGCCUGUGGUGGUGCUUUCUUUUGUUGUUGGCUCAGUUGUUGUGCUUUCUGGUGUUGUGGUACCUGUGGUGGUGCUUUCUGUUGUUGUGGUCUCUGUUGUGGUCUCUGUUGUUGUACUUUUUGAAGUUGUAGUACCAGGGGUUUCUGUUGUUGUGGUGUCAGUUGUUGCACUUUCUUGUGUAGUGUUACUGGUGGUGAUACUUGUUGUGGUCUCUGAAGCAAUACUUUCUGCAGUAGGGGCGCCAGUGGUCUUAUCUUCUGCCAAUGUGAUCUCUGUUGUUACACUGUCUGGAGUUGUGGUGAUAGUAGUGGUGCUUUCUGAUGUUGUGGUCUCUGUGGUAGUACUCCCUGGAGUGGUCGUGCCAGAGGUUGUACUUUCUGUGUUGGUGGUGCUGUCUGUUGUUGUGAUAUCGGAUGUGGUGCCUGUGGUAGUACUUUCUGUUGUUAUGGUGGCGGUAGAGGUGCUAUCUGUUGUUGUAGUCUGUGUUGUUGAUCUUUCAGGAGUUGUGGUGCUGCUGCUUAUUGUUGUGGUCUCCUUUGUGGAACUUUCUGGAGUUACGGUGCUGCGGUUUGUUGUUGUGGGCUCUGUGGUAGUACUUUCUGCAUUACCAGUGACCAUGAUUGUUGCUUCUAUUAAUGUGGUUUUUAUGUUUGAGGUUGUUUCUAUCAAGAUAGUAGUAUAGGAAAUGCUGUUGCUCCCGAUAUCUGGAAAAUAAUAAUAAUAAUAAUUUAAACAAGAUACAUUUAAAUACAUAAACAGUGGUGGCCAAAUUAUUAGAACUAUAGUAUUUUCACCAGCUAAAAAUGGGUUUAAG